UACGUAGGGUGCAAGCGUUAAUCGGAAUUACUGGGCGUAAAGCGUGCGCAGGCGGUUUUGUAAGUCUGUCGUGAAAUCCCCGGGCUCAACCUGGGAAUUGCGAUGGAGACUGCAAGGCUAGAAUCUGGCAGAGGGGGGGUAGAAUUCCACGUGUAGCAGUGAAAUGCGUAGAGAUGUGGAGGAACACCGGUGGCGAAGGCGGCUACCUGGACCGGCACUGACGCUGAGGCGCGAAAGCGUGGGAGCAAACAGG
rnacentral:rRNA from 1 species